AUGGCGUCUCCGAAAUUCAAGCCCGUGGAGGAGUGCAGCUCCGAGGGGAGGUCGGCGCAGACGGUGGCCGCCGACUUCGACGGCACGCUGCUCCGGUCCUCCAAUGCCUUCCCCUACUACCUCCUCGUGGCGCUGGAGGCUGGCAGCGUCCUCCGCGCCGUGGCGCUGCUCCUGUCGGUGCCGUUCGUGUACGUGACCUACAUCUUCUUCUCCGAGUCGCUGGCCAUCAGCACCUUGGUGUACAUCUCCGUGGCCGGGCUCAAGGUGAGGAGCAUCGAGAUGGCGGCGCGGUCGGUGCUGCCCAAGUUCUACGCGCAGGACGUCCACCCGGAGAGCUGGAGGGUGUUCAGGUCCUUCGGCAAGCGGUACAUCAUCACGGCCAGCCCCAGGGUCAUGGUGGAGCCCUUCGCCAGGGAGUUCCUCGGCGCCGACAGGGUGGUGGGCACGGAGCUGGAGGUGGGCAAGUCCGGCAAGGCCACGGGUUUCAUGGUGAAGCCCGGGGUGCUCGUCGGCGACCACAAGAAGCAGGCCGUGGUGAAGGAGCUGGGCGACGCCGUGCCCGACGUCGGCAUGGGCGACAGGGCUACCGAUUUCAACUUCAUGUCCAUAUGCAAGGAGGCCUACCUUGUCACGUCGAGGAAGUACAGCCCGGUGCCCAAGAACCAGCUGCUGACGCCGCUCAUCCUCCACGACGGCCGCCUCGUGCAGCGCCCGACGCUGCUGGUGGCGCUCGUCACCUUCCUCUGGAUGCCGUUCGGCUUCGCGCUGGCGCUCCUCCGCGUGUACAUCAACCUGCCCCUCCCGGAGCGCAUCGUCUUCUACAUCUACCACAUGAUGGGCAUCAGGCUCAUCGUGAAGGGAAACCCGCCGCCGCCGCCCAAGAAGGGGAGCCCGGGCGUGCUCUUCGUGUGCAACCACCGCACCGUGCUGGACCCCAUCGAGGUCGCCGUCGCGCUCGGCCGCAAGGUGAGCUGCGUGACCUACAGCAUCUCCAAGUUCUCGGAGCUUAUCUCGCCGAUCAAGGCGGUGGCGCUGACGCGGGAGCGCGACAAGGACGCCGAGAACAUCCGGCGGCUGCUGGAGGAGGGCGACCUGGUGAUCUGCCCCGAGGGCACCACCUGCCGGGAGCCCUACCUGCUGCGCUUCAGCGCGCUCUUCGCCGAGCUCACCGACCGCAUCGUGCCGGUGGCGAUCAACACCAGGGAGCACAUGUUCCACGGCUCCACCGUGCGCGGGUUCAAGCUCAUGGACCCCUACUUCUUCUUCAUGAACCCGCGGCCGGUCUACGAGGUCACCUUCCUCAACAUGCUGCCCAAGGAGCUCACCUGCGGCGGGGGCAAGUCGCCCAUCGAGGUCGCCAACUACAUCCAGAAGACGCUCAGCGACCAGCUCGGCUUCGAGUGCACCACCAUCACGCGCAAGGAGAAGUACGGCAUACUGGCCGGCACCGACGGACGCGUCCCGUCCAAGAACAAGGAGAAGGAGAAGAACUAG
rnacentral:rRNA from 1 species